CCAACGUGGACAUCCUUUGAAGGGGCUCUCAUACGGCUCUGUCCUUGUGGUGUGUGGGAGCAUAGCACUUUGCUGUGACGUACAGUCACAUUCCACGACGUUGGAGAGCAAGCUCAAUCCCCGGUCCUCGAGUUGUUGAGGACGAGCGUCAUGUAUAUUCAUAUUCCCAGAGUCCUCCCAGCCAUUACUUGGGAGCUAAACCAUACAGUUUCCAUCA